CAGUAGCCGCGGUAAAACAGAGGGUGCGAGCGUUAAUCGGAUUUACUGGGCGUAAAGCGUGCGUAGGCGGCUUCUUAAGUCGGAUGUGAAAUCCCUGAGCUUAACUUAGGAAUUGCAUUCGAUACUGGGAAGCUAGAGUAUGGGAGAGGAUGGUAGAAUUCCAGGUGUAGCGGUGAAAUGCGUAGAGAUCUGGAGGAAUACCGGUGGCGAAGGCGGCCCCCUGGACAAAGACUGACGCUCAGGUGCGAAAGCGUGGGGAGCAAACAGGAUUAGAUACCCCCGUAGUCCCUGUCUCUUAUAC
rnacentral:rRNA from 1 species